rnacentral:rRNA from 1 species
UGGGGAAUAUUGCGCAAUGGGGGCAACCCUGACGCAGCAACGCCGCGUGAUUGAUGAAGGUCUUCGGAUUGUAAAAAUCUUUAAUUAGGGACGAAACAAAUGACGGUACCUAAAGAAUAAGCUCCGGCUAACUACGUGCCAGCAGCCGCGGUAAUACGUAGGGAGCAAGCGUUAUCCGGAUUUACUGGGUGUAAAGGGCGUGUAGGCGGGUCUGUAAGUUGGAAGUGAAAUCUGGGGGCUCAACCCCCAAACUGCUUUCAAAACUGCGGAUCUUGAGUGAUGGAGAGGCAGGCGGAAUUCCCAGUGUAGCGGUGAAAUGCGUAGAUAUUGGGAGGAACACCAGUGGCGAAGGCGGCCUGCUGGACAUUAACUGACGCUGAGGCGCGAAAGCGUGGGGAGCAAACA